rnacentral:rRNA from 1 species
CAGCCGCCGCGGGAAUACGUAGGUGGCAAGCGUUGUCCGGAAUUAUUGGGCGUAAAGGGCUCGCAGGCGGUUUCUUAAGUCUGAUGUGAAAGCCCCCGGCUCAACCGGGGAGGGUCAUUGGAAACUGGGAAACUUGAGUGCAGAAGAGGAGAGUGGAAUUCCACGUGUAGCGGUGAAAUGCGUGGAGAUGUGGAGGAACACCAGUGGCGAAGGCGACUCUCUGGUCUGUAACUGACGCUGAGGAGCGAAAGCGUGGGGAGCGAACAGGAUUAGAGACCCCAGUAGUCCCUGUCUCUUAUAC